ACUGAACGCUGGCGGCAGGCCUAACACAUGCAAGUCGAGCGGAUGAAGCGAGCUUGCUCCUGGAUUCAGCGGCGGACGGGUGAGGAAUGCCUAGGAAACGGCCUGGUAGUGGGGGACAACGUCAGGAAACGGGCGCUAAUACCGCAUACGUCCUGAGGGAGAAAGUGGGGGAUCUUCGGACCUCACGCAACUAGCUGAGCCUAGGUCGGAUUAGCUAGUCGGUGGGGUAAAGGCCUACCAAGGCGACGGUCCGUAACUGGUCUGAGAUGAUGAUCAGUCACACUAGAACUGAGACGCGGUCCAGAUUCCUACGGGGGGCAGCGGUGGGAGGUGUUGAACAAUGAGCGGAAGCCUGAUCCGGCCGUGCCGCGUGUGUGAAGGAGGUCUUCGGAUUUUAAAGCACUUUAAGUUGGGAGUGAGGGCAGUAAAUUUAUUCCUUGCUGUUUUGACGUUACCAACAGAAUAAGCACCGGCUAACUUCGUG
rnacentral:rRNA from 1 species